AACGAACGCUGGCGGCAGGCCUAACACAUGCAAGUCGAACGCCGUAGCGAUACGGAGUGGCAGACGGGUGAGUAACACGUGGGAACAUACCCUUCGGUUCGGAAUAACUCAGGGAAACUUGAGCUAAUACCGGAUACGUCCGCGAGGAGAAAGAUUCAUCGCCGGAGGAUUGGCCCGCGUCUGAUUAGCUUGUUGGUGAGGUAACGGCUCACCAAGGCGACGAUCAGUAGCUGGUCUGAGAGGAUGAUCAGCCACAUUGGGACUGAGACACGGCCCAAACUCCUACGGGAGGCAGCAGUGGGGAAUAUUGGACAAUGGGCGCAAGCCUGAUCCAGCCAUGCCGCGUGAGUGAUGAAGGCCCUAGGGUUGUAAAGCUCUUUUACCCGGGAAGAUAAUGACUGUACCGGGAGAAUAAGCCCCGGCUAACUUCGUGCCAGCAGCCGCCGCAGUAAC
rnacentral:rRNA from 1 species